rnacentral:lncRNA from 1 species
AGAGGACUUCCAUUGAUCAAUAGCCACUCAGAUGUUCUGUGUUUGCCAUGAGUAUCGGACUUCAGUCUUCUGGAAAGAUGGCUGUGGUGCCUAAACACAUCUGUGCCUGGCCUCACCCGCGGGACUUCGGACAUUUCACUUAAUGCUGAAAAUUCACUCUACUGCCACUACUCAGGACUUCUGAUGGGCAUGAAAAUCCAAGCCUGCUUUAUGAUAUUAACCUCUGAAUUUCAUAAACCGCUUAAAACUUUAGAAUGUCCAGAAAACACUGGUAGAAUACGGACACAUGAGACAAGGCCAGAAAGGAAGUCAAUAAAAUGUGAUUACUAAGCAAAUUACCACCAGAGAAGCAGAAGGAAAUCCCUCUUCAAUAUUUUGAGAGACAGUAAAGAACAUUCCCUGGAGUUAGGACAAAUGAAGAGCAAGAAGUUUCAUCUUGCUCUGUCAUCCAGGCUGGAGUGCAGGGGCACCAUCUCGGCUCACUGAAACCUCCACUUCCCGGGUUCAAGCGAUUCUCCUGCCUCAGCCUCCUGAGUAACUGGGGUUACAGUGAAUAGACAACCUACAGAAUGGGAGAAAAUACUUGCA